AACGAACGCUGGCGGCAUGCCUAACACAUGCCAGUCGAACGAGACCUUCGGGUCUAGUGGCGCACGGGUGCGUAACGCGUGGGAACCUGCCCUUAGGUUCGGAAUAACUCCCCGAAAGGGGUGCUAAUACCGGAUAAUGUCUUCGGACCAAAGAUUUAUCGCCUUUGGAUGGGCCCGCGUUGGAUUAGCUAGUUGGUAGGGUAAAAGCCUACCAAGGCGACGAUCCAUAGCUGGUCUGAGAGGAUGAUCAGCCACACUGGGACUGAGACACGGCCCAGUCUCCUACGGGAGGCAGCAGUGGGGAAUAUUGGACAAUGGGCGAAAGCCUGAUCCAGCAAUGCCGCGUGAGUGAUGAAGGCCUUAGGGUUGUAAAGCUCUUUUACCCGGGAUGAUAAUGACAGUACCGGGAGAAUAAGCGCCGGCUAACUCCGUG
rnacentral:rRNA from 1 species